CCCUCUUUUUCUCUCAGCCAACAGCCCCUCUAUCUCAGCCACCAGCAGCAGUAGCCACCACCUUCGCCGUCGCUGAACUCUUCCCGUCAGUCAGAGGGUGCCUUGCCGUGAAAAAUGACAACAGAGAGUCGGCUCGAAGCUCUUGGCCGUCGAUCCUCUUCUCCUCCACGUCGUCGCCUUUAGAGUUGCAGGCUUCUUUGUGGGCUUCUUCUCUAAAUUGUCUUCAUCUUCGUCUUCGUCUACGUCUUUGUCUUUGUCUUUCUCGUUGUGGACUUACAAAUCGAAGCGCGGUCGGUUGGAUUCCUCCAUCGUUGGUCAAUUUGCUCGAUCUCAAAGAACUCAUCAAGUAUAAAGGUCUUUAGGUUUGGUGGUGAGCAUAUGUCUUGUUGGUGCGUUAAUUGGAAGUCUAUUCAGUGGCUGGAUUGCUGAUGCAGUUGAGCAUUGUAGGGUUUUUCGGUUGUGUGCUUUGCCAAUGAUAAUUGGCGCUUUGAUUAGCUUCUGGAUAAAAGGCAAAGCUUGAAUGUUAAGCGUUUUCUUCAAGCAAUUAAUGUAAGGCAGGAUCUCACUGAAGGUCUGAAGAACUUGCAGAGCAAGACACUCAUAUUUGCAGGAUAAUUUUUUUUGGACUGGUAAAGACAAAAGGAGUUGACUAGUUGUUGUGGCACCGUGUAUAAGAUGGGAUGAGUCUUAUAAUGAGUUUGGUUAUCUAAAUGUAUUAUUUUGAUAUGUUCUUUACUUUUUGAUAAGAGACUUUAUCCGAUAUUACAUGUAAUGGAUAAAUUACACCCUAUUUUGAUUAGUGUUGUAAUAGAUAUCUAGUUUUUAAUGAAACUUUUAUAAUUUGGAUUUAUCAAAUUUCUCAUUCUUA